rnacentral:tRNA from 1 species
CGAAGUAUAGCAUAUUUAAUGCUUUUUACUUACACUAAAAAUAAAACAAAAGUUUACUUCGCCU